rnacentral:pre_miRNA from 1 species
GUCCGAAAUCUGCGCCGGAACCAAGCGGCAUCCAACAUUUGUCACAGCCAUGCUCACCGCCACGGACCGUAAACCCCUGAACGGAGGGGCGUCAGCAGUAGCUAGUGGCAUCAGUUACUGCUGUAAACCCGUAGAGUUCAGGAGAUUGGGGUCGGUGGCGGCGAGCAUGGCUGUGACAAAAUUGGAUGCCGCCUUGGUUCCGGCGCAGAUUUCGGAC